UUAAUCAUGAUUGAGAUGAAUUGAGCAUGUGGUUCUUUUAAGCGAUUACAUUUUUUAAGGAGCUGCUAGCUAGAACUGCGAGUGGAAACAUAGUUACCGCUGUUGCUUCUUGUUUCCAUUUUUCUUUUCGUUUUUCAUAAUUUUCUACAUUGAUUUUAUGUCUCUACUUCAUUUGUAUGAUCUCUUAUUCAUUUUUAUACUAACUGGAUUAAUCUUUCUAAUGCCCUUGUUUUUGUUCUUGGGAAGGUGAAGGCUGCCUACGAGAGGAGAUGUGGAGCCUGGGGAGAUUCCUACGUUGCUCGAUUUGGGGUUUAAUCCGAAUGCUGCAACGGGGCAGGUGGCAAUAACAGUCAACAGGAAGAUAGGAAGCUAGAUGUGGCAUUUUGGUUGGUGUUUCGAUGUCUUUUGAAUUUGGAAAAAAUGUAAGAAUUUGGUGAAGCAAGUGUUGAACACCAUUUUUUUGUUAAUAUUGUUUGGAUGUAAAUUAAAUGACUACUUUAGGUACUUUGAAGCUACAAUGUAUGGAAGUUUAAGUUAUUUUAUAUAUAAUAUGUUUUGGAUUGUAUUA